AAUAAAAACAGAUGUAAGUCAUUAUCAAACAGAUAAGAAAAACAAGAUGGUCAAAUAUCCUCCCUAUUGUGAACUAGCAUUCUUUUAAAGUUGGAAUCCACAAAUGCUGCAAGUAUGGCUGAAAAAUACAUAAAUUCCUUCUUAAAACAACUAACAAUUACAGUGAAUUUUAAUCAUCAUAUUUGGUUUUAACAGCAACAGAAGAGAAAAUAAAUUUAUCAUGGUAGGUUUCCCAUUUAAUAAAACCCUCAAAUCUAAAAGCUUUUCCCUGUUCAGUUCAAUACUACAACAGAACAAUAUUGUUUUCCAGUUUCCCUGUAUGACAGUGAGAAAGAGACCCACCUCAAAACAGCCAGUAAGCCCCAGGGGGGCUUAGCACAAGCCUCUUGGCUCCCAGAUAAGAUACUUCCCAUGAAGUUUUGGCUUUGACAAACUGAUACUUUACUAAUUUAUCUAAAUGGAGUUUAGUUUCUGGUGAUUGUUGAGGUCUGCAGUGGGUCUGCAGACAAGUUAGUUGACUUCAAAGACUUAUCCGUGUACCUUUAAGACAGCCACAAAUUGUCAGGUAUGUAAACAGGGUGUGAAGAAUCGGAACUUUUAGAACCGCAGCAUACGGGCACCUACAGCAACAGCAAAUAGCAAGCAAGAAGAAGGAAGGACACAAAAGCCUAUCAGGGUCUGAAACCUGUGCUGUCUAGGAUAUAUAAAUAGUUUGUAUAAACAAUAAAGGCCAUUUUGCUGGAACCCAGCCACGCAGACAUAAUGUUUUUUUCAGUCUGCCUCAACUUGCGUCACCACACCACUUAUCUAUAGGAUAAUGUACUUACGUUUAUCUAAAAGUUGGAAAACGUCCAAGGACCCUUACUGCUAACAUGACGGAUGUACUAAUUGUUAAGUCCUUGGAUUUAUCAUCUUUAAAAAGGCUAUCUGGACCUAAGUUCCUGUUGUUUAUACAACGUGGCAAAGACAAGGACUUAAAUCAUGGUCACUAGUUUAGCAAGGUAUGUUAAUGAGUUCCUGGAAUUGUAAUUAAUAUGUAAAUGAUUUCCUGGAAAAAUAAUUAAUAGACAUGAGUGACUUGUAUAAAGAGGGGGCUGAAAGGUUCCCUUGGUGUGCAUGACUUUGGUGGAGCGAUCCCCCAUGCACCCAGUGCUGCCGAAUAAAGAUAACCUCCGCUCACUCGAAUAUUGGUAACUGAUUCUUUAAAUCAAUUUGGCACCCCAGGUGAGACCUGGUCUGCUCGGCUGUGGGACCCAUUGAGAGCGGGGACUCCCUAGGGUACCCCCGGGGAUUUUCCCGGACGGGCUCCUCGUCUCAUCUGGACCACCGCAGGAACACACAAGGACUCAAUCUUGCGGAGCAAAGUUACUCUGUGCUGUUUUGGCAUCAAUUUGGCGAGCCAGCCAGGAGAACUCUCCACCAGUGCUGGAAUCCAGGGGCCUGGGGACCCUCAGGGCCCCCAACUGCAUCUUCUGUCGGCAAGACUCCCCUACCCCUCGGCUUCUCACACAAGUGGACAAGGACUUCUGCACAACAUAAAAGGUAUUUAUAUUUAUUCUUUGUUUUGAAUAUUUGAUUGUCUUAAGAUUUGGUUUUACCCCAUAAGAUGAAGGACCACAGGGUUGAGAAGAAGGGACGCCUUCUGAAAAGGGUAAUAGCCCUAUUUGAUUGUCUUAAGAUUUGGGAAGCUAAAAACUUCCUUUAGGUUGUCUUAAAAUUUGGGGAAUUCCUAGAAUGUAACAACUGAAAUAGCGCUCUGUGUCUUGUUUGUUCUAUGUGUUGUCUUGUUACGUGUUCAAAAUUGGAGUUAUGAAAUGUAUGUUGGAAAAAAAAAUCUGGUAAUUCUAGGCAAAUAGCUGAAAACUUAACACUCUGCUUAAGGCCAGAAAAAAUUAGAAUAUGUUUUUUGGCAAUUGUUCAUUGAAAUGCAUACUUUGUGUGAUAACGCGAACUGUCAGCGUUCCUAGAGUUGUAUGUAAGCGCACGGUACCUUGUAAUAUACUGCCCAUGUGACUGACGGCUGUCCGGAGAGUGUGAUGUGUGUGAGUGUCACUGCGAAGCAAGUGAGGAGUCCCGAUCUGCGUGUCUGUGUUCCCCGCAAGGGGCCGGCCAGAGACGGACGAGCGAUUGAAAAAUCAAUUUAUGAAGUGUUGGAACGCAUAAUUGGAAAUUAAAGAGGGAGACUAUGGACAAAACAUUAGAACUAACAUCAUUUGGAAAAAGCACGAAUUAACCUCUGCCCUUAGUGUCGUAGGUGCUGUCUGUAUACUCGAACAAAGGGUGGCAAGUGUCUAAGAUAUAUUAUCUCCUCGCAAAAAAAAAAAUUAAUAAUAAGAAUAAUGAGACCAAGAAAUAAGGCUAAAUAGAGGUCUUGAACUGUGGUGUGUGUUCUGAGAUAAGUAUGGUGACUCCAGUAAUAACUAAUACAUUGUAGACAAAUACCAGACUUAUUAUGAAGAUGGGGGGCAGACUGAGCCAAGAAAUAAAUACCAAAACACCCCUGGGAUGUAUUUUGAAGCAUUGGAAAGAAUUUGGCGGAAUUCCCGGAGGAAAUUUGAACAAAAAGACAUUUUAAAAAUAUUGUCAGAAUUCGUGGCCUUUGUAUACAUUAGGUGAUGGUGAAAGAUGGCCACUCUGAGGAAGUCUUAUAUUACAACACAAUUAUUAGAGCUUAUGCUGUUUCUUCGUAGAGAACAAAAGUGGGAUGAAGUAAUGUGUGCAGAUAUGUUUGUGUGACAGGAGGAGUGCGGGACUAACACCACCUGAUCUUUGAUUAUGGCUCUAGAAAAGGAUAGGGAAAAACUGAGACCUAAACUAGAAAGAUGUUCUUGUUGAAAUUUUUGUGUGUUUAAAAAAAAAAAAAAAAAAAAAAAAAAAAGGAGCUCAGGUUGUGGUUCCUUCUGUGGAGCAACCAGAAUGAAACACGUUGUAAGAUAAAAAAACUUGUACUAAUGUAUGUAAGAUCUGAAGGGGUGGGUGGGUGUGUGGGUGUGUGUGUGGGUGUGUGUGUGUGUAGAAUCAAAGACCUUGUGAAAGUGUUGGGGUGAGUUUGUACAAACCCCCGUACCAGUUCGAAGGUGCGGCUGAGUCAUGCAGGGUGUUUGCUGUUUGUCUGCAAAGGCAUGAUAUGUAAGAACACAGGCUUAAAGCAACAAGGAGCAGAUUUGCAUUCAGGGUAAGAAAGAGUCAAAACAGAAGUGCUGCUGCAGAGGCAGGCUUGUGUAACCUGCAGAGCAGGAAGAGCAUCUCCUGCCCCGAAUCCUUCUGCUGGUGAGGAGGAGGGGGUUGCUGUUGCUGACAAUUGAGCAGAAGGACCUGGAAAAUGUUACCCCAAGUGCUGCAGCAUUUGAAGUACAACAGGACCGGUAAUGGCCCCUCUAGGGCAGGCAACGGGUCUGAGGAGAAUAAAGGUGCAUCUUUGAUGGGGAAAUUUAGAUGUUUGAAAGUUGGUUGUGAAAGACUUAUCAGGAUGAUCUAAUAGAACUAGAUAAAGGUUUGAGUUGAUUGUUACUAGAUAAUCGUGAUGUAGAAAAAAUGAGGUGGAAUUUUUAGUGAUUACAAAACCAACUUAUUUGAUGUUAAACUUCAGUGAAAAGAAUUUGUUACAGUUGUGGGAGCUGCUGGCCACCAGGAAAACAUCCUGAAACCUUUAAAGUACAAACUAAGAAAACAAAUAAGAAUGCCAAAUUCACCAAAAUCUUUGUUGGGAUGAGAUUUAUUAGAACAUCUAGACGUUUAAAGAAGGAGAAAUGAAAACAAAAGUUAAAAACGAUCAAGUGAUUGAAAUCUUGAGCUUAUCUUUAAUUCAACAGAAAAGUGGAAAAGAGGACCUCCCUGAAGUAAAAGAAAUCUUUAACCAGGUGUAUCUGGAAAUAAAUUCCAGGUAAGGCAAAAAAAUGCUUUACCUGUCACAGUAAAAACGAAUAAGCGGGAGGCCUGCCUAGUUCAGGUAAAACAAUAUCCCUUGGUCAGCAAGGCUGUGGGGGAUAUUGGCAGAAAAACUGAGAUAAAAUACACUCUGUAGUAGUUCUACUAAUGUAAAUCUGUGUGUUUUUCCAUGACAGUGACUUGUUAUGGGAUGUGCAGAUGAAACUCUGCAUUGACAACAAAGUACAAGGAAUAAGGUUGGUCAGGUGCCUCCUACCAUAGUCAAGGGCAAGACUGGGUUGGCCUCUGUGUUUGCCACCAAGAAGAAUCUUGAGCUCCGCUGUUGGCUGCAACCCAGUAGGCAUUGAGCGGUGGGAACAUAUGCCAUGCCAGACCUUGAUGUGAGGAAUGGCCCCCUCUGUUAUAAGAGGGUCAUCCAGGAAGGAAGAACAUAAGAUGACCCAUUGAGGCACUGAUUUGGAAAUUGGAAACCACCUGGCCGACCAUGAGGCCAGACAAGUAGCAGAGGAGGUAGGAAAGGAGGAAUUAUCCUUAAUACCAGAUGGUAAAAUCCAAACUGUAAGUACAGAUCAGCAAACAAACUAUUCUAAAGAAGACCUAAAGCUAAUUCAGGACAUGAAUGGUAAAGUAAAAUUAAAAUAAGUGGGAUUAUUUGGCAGAUGGCCGUAUAGUGGCACCAUCCAAUUUAAUAUGGACCACAGCCCUAACAGAACAUAAUAAAACUCAUUGGGGAGCUGAUACGUUAUAUAAAAGUCUAAAUAAAAAACUGAUAGGGCGAAACUUAUAUACUGUAAUAAAACAGGUGACUCAGCAAUGCGAAGUGUGUUUACGUAAUAAUCCAAAUGUAGCAAAUAAAACAAAACUAGGGAACAUUAGUAGAGGAAAUUAUCCAGGACAACAGUGGCAAGUUGAUUUUUCCAAACUCCCAAGAAAAGGGGGGGUACCGAUAUUUAUUACUUAUGACUGAUACGUUUUCAGGUUGGCCAAAAACUUUCCCUUGUUGAACAAAUAAAGCAAGAGAGGUAACGAAGGGAUUGUUAAAUGAAAUUAUCCCCCGCUUUGGGGUUCUGGCAACAAUCUCUUCUGAAAAAGGCUCACACUUUUGUGCCAAAAUAAUACAAGUACAGUAUUAAGAAUAGAUUGGCAAUUACACACUCCUUAUAGGCCUCAAGCAAGUGGGCAAGUGGAAAAGAAUGAACCGCGAAAAUAGGACAAGAGACAAAUCUAACUUGGCCACAAUCUCUUCCCUUGGUAUUAUUAAGAAUACGAACUAAACUGAGAACAAAGGAGAAUUUGAGCCCUUUCAAAAUAUUAUACGGGAGACUGUACCAGUUAUAAUUUGCUGGAGAAGAUUUAAAGCAGUUAGGAGAGGGAUAUUUGUGUGAAUACGUGAAGGCCCUCCAGAGACAACUAACAAGGGCCAGAGGAUUAGGUCAACCAGUCCAUUCCUUUAAAUCUGGUGAUAAAGACUUUUUCAGGGAAACCUUUGGAAGAAAAGUGGGAAGGACCCUAUCAGGUGCUGCUGACAACCUUCACUGCCAUCAAGAUAAGAGAACAACCAGCCUGGAUUUGCUACUUGUUGAUAAAGAAAGCUCCUGAAAAAUCAUGGGCCAUUACCCCGGCAAGACCCAUGGGACUACAGUUCUUUAGAUCGUAAUUAUAAUAGGGUGAUCCUCUACAAGAAGAGUGGAAUGGACCCUAUUGAGUAUUGUUGGCCACCUUUACUGCAAUCAAGAUGAAGGAGGAACCUGAUAUUGACUGGUUAAGAGAGACACAAUGGACUGUCAAAAGAAUCAGGGAAUAUUUGAGUAAAGUUAUUCUGGUCUUGAUUGUAACAGUUGAAAGGAUUUUAGAAACUGAAGCAUGGGUAAACAAUACCCAUCUUCAAACAUUGCAAAUGAUUGUUAAUGCCACGAAAGCUAAGGAAUGCUGGAUAUGUACCUCUCUUCCUAAAGGAGGCCUGGUAACACCCCUGUAUGGGGUGGCCUCUCAAAACUGGAAUUAUCUUGAUGACAAAUGGCCUACCUGGCCAGACUUUUGGAAAAAGCCAGGCGAUGGUGGAGGAUUGUGGCGAAUGAAGAGACGGGACGCAGCUUGAUGCAAGCAAAUGUCCAUUUAUUGUACACAAUCACGAGUUUAUAUAUGUUUUCAGAACCUGCGUGCUUUAAACAGAUUGGUUCUUUAAGCUAAGAAUUACAUACUAGGCAAUCCCUGAUUGGUGGUUAACUACCAGCAAUUAACCACAAGGUGUUACCUUUCCUUGGCGCCAUCCAUCUCCCACUCCCCUGUGCUCUGCAAACACGCCUCAUCAUGUUAAUUGUUGUCUAGACAAGCUCGAGCACAUUCCCCUCAGCUAACUGAUUGCCAUGCAUGGUCCUAGUUUGCAGACCCUCCUGCAUCUCCCCCUUCCUGUUGCACAAAAGAACCCCUGAAACCGAGCAAAACCAAGGCACAUGUAACAGAACAAAUAAAAAACCAACUAAGACAUAUUAUCAAUGUCAAAAUAACCCACUGUCUUUGUUCCGUACAAUUUUACAAUUUCCCCUUUUUGUUUUUGAACAGCUAGUACCAGGUUUGCCAUGUUCUGCAGGGCCCUUGCAAACAUGACAGCAACCAAGGCAAUAGCAAACAAACAAUACUGCCAAUUGAGUGAAUGGAUGCCAAAAAGGCUGACAUUUUCUCAGAUUUUGAUAACAUGUUGCUGCAAUGGGGCGCCUAAAAUCCACGCAGCACAUACCAUCAAAAUCCUCACAGCCAUGUCCUUGAGCCAACAACAAAAAGCAGUGGCAAUUUUGACUCACAUUCUGAACUGCCUACCAAACAAGGUGAUUUAACUCUUUAAUGCUUUCCCUGCUGUUACUCUGGAUAAGAGAAGAACCGCUGCGACACGUUCCCAUCAUAGCCUCCUACUACAUUAGCAUCUACAGAAAGACAAUUAUCGACAUUCAAAGUGUAAACAAUAUCAGCUUCUUUUGGAUUAACAUUAUACAUAGGUGGAAGGGCACACCAAACAAGAACUGGUUCAGUCAAAAAGUUUGAAACAUCGCAUGCCUUCUCUGAACAUACCUCUGGGGUCAUUCCCAUCAUUCCCUCUCUUUUUUAUGCAAAGAGAAACACUUUUACCGUAACAGAGAAGCCCCUAUUUACAUCUCUGAGCCAGGACACAAACCGCAGCUGUAUGCUCCACCAGGCUCAGGGCAGAAAUCAUUCAUGUAGUUACAUAGCUAUAUAUCUCUACAAGCGUGCAGACACCUAUUAAACACUAGAUAACCAUGUUUAUCUUUCCUAGUCUCCUUCACAAUACCCAGCUGUUCUCUCAUCUCUUGUUAGGUCAAAUAUUCUCCGGUUUCCUCUCCUAUCUCUCUCUUCAGACAUUCUCUAUCCUCCUCUUUUUUGCUUGUUAAUUGCGACGAGGCAAAGGGGGUGUGUAGCUGGGUGACCAUGACCUGCUUUAUUUUACAAUCAACUAAACACUGAAUACAGAAAAAAAAAGGUAUGGGAGACAUAAAGCAAACAUCAAUAAGGUGGUUAAAGAUAAUUAUAAUAAAUCCUGUAAUACUUUUGAGUCAUGGCCCAAAGUUUCCCAGCCGUGAGAAGAGACCAAAGGCAUCCCGCCCCUGGCUCUGUUGCAGAUCUUUGUUUUAAGGCUUUUAAGUUUUGUAUACUUUUGUAAAUUAAUUCACAGUGGUCACUCAGAUUCACGUAACACAUCCUAUCAAAGUCUUCACACUUGUGUCCCUGUGCUAAUAAUAAAAAUCAAUAGCAACUCGGUUCUGUAGCAACAUAUGAUGGACAGAAUCAACAUCUGUUAAUAAGCCAGAAAAAAAAUAGUAUUUGUAGUAUUACUUUGUUUAGCAAGCUAGCAGCCUAAUUUACUAAGCAAGUUAAGAGCGUGUACUAUUCUUACAGAAGAGAUUAGAGAAGCAAAAAUGUGUUAUGCUGCAUUCCAGAACUCAGCCUGAGAAUUACAGUCUGCUGUGAGUUCUGCGUUACAAUCAUUUGACACAUGUUGGGGUUGCGAUUGUGAAAGUUGCCCGUUUACAAUUUUCAUUGGCAUUAUCACAGCUAGUUGUUUUAAAAGCAACCCUUGAGCUUCCUGAUGUUCGACUUGUUGCAAAAUAUUCUGAAGCCAAUCAAUCAAGUUAGUAUUACAGUUAGUGACUCUCUAGGACCCCGCAACACUGUGGCAAGACUCUCGCAUCCUGACUGCCUUAAUAGCCAUCUCAUUCAUUUGCAAACAGUUGUCCCUGGGAUACCUUGCCUGAGUCACAGAAUCGGCACAGUUAAUUUUCUCCAGCCAACUGCUCAUAGUUAACAGCAAUUCCCCGAUUAAGGUUUUCAGUCAAGGCCACUACACAUAGCUCACAAAUAUCAAAUAACCACAUCAUAUACUGUAUCAGUUAGUACCAUACAAAGCAGUAACUUCCAAUCAUGCAGUGUGAGUGUAUAAGGCUCUGCCAUCACUUCAAGAAGGGACAUAGCAAAUGUAUUAUGAAUCCUCCCUUCCCGCACUGCUUUGCUUAACUCUUUAACAGCCUCGUAUUGCACAGGCUGCCACUCUGCAGGUUGAUUUGUCUGACAAAAUACUGAACAUGCCAUAGCGACUCCCAAAACCUAUCACUGAAGUGUUUCCCACUUGCAUUCCUGCCACCAAUCCCUCAGACUCCCUUUCACCCUCCCCAAAAAUACAAUCAAUGCAUCAAGAGAGACAAGGGGAUGGGGGAAAGGUCUAGCUCCUUUUCCAGAUCUAUAGGACCUGGAUCAAAAGGUUUAUCAGUGUCAAUAAAAUCAUUGUCCGAGUUGUCCUGUUCCCGUGCUUGCUCCUGUGUUGUGAGGGUCGCUGCAAUCAGUGACAGAAGCUUUGGGGGCAGAGGAGGUGUGGACAGAAUCGCCAUCGCUGACGGUGGAAUUUACAGCUUCCUCUGGUUUAGCACCGUUAGUAGAAUUAGUCCACACUUGGCAAAGAGUAGUCAGAAUUUGCCACCAAGAUGCUAAAUGCAUUCCCGACACGGAGUUCCCCUCCGCGGCAGCAUCAUACAAUUGGCUGCUGUAUGUACGCACUUUCAUUCUUUCAAAGUCUCUAAAGUUUCUUGGCUGCUCACCUGUCUCGAUGAAUACAGGUGUUAUCCUCGGGGUUUAGGUUGUCCGCCUGGUCCAGACAGCAAGACAAUCGUUCAGCCAAGCCGUCUCCUCCGGAACGCAGCCCUCUUCCAUGAGCUGUCUUUUUUCCGUCCUUAUUCUUCCAAGGCUUCGGAACACCACCAUAGGGGUCACCAUUUGAGGAGAUUGAGGCACGGACUCCCAGAUCUGACUAGAAGACCCUUCAUGAGUCCAUAUACGUCUCUUUCUGGGGACGAAGCCUGAUUCCCCGUUACGGAUUUCCCACAGCUCACCUCUCAACUCCGGAGGGAUUUCUGGCCGGCUCCUGCUUCCUUUCAGCAGAUCAUUCAAAGUUCUGUGGGAUUCGCUGCAUGUCGCUCAGAUAGGCGAUUCGAGAGCCCUUCACGUUAGAUCCUUAAACGCAUCACGUUGGGGUCACCAAUUUGCGGCGAAUGAAGAGACGGGACGCAGUUUAAUGCAAGCAAAUGUCCAUUUAUUGUACACAAUCACGAGUUUAUAUAUGUUUUCAGAACCUGCGUGCUUUAAACAGAUUGGUUCUUUAAGCUAAGAAUUACAUACUAGGCAAUCCCUGAUUGGUGGUUAACUACCAUCAAUUAACAGCAAGGUGUUAUCUUUCCUUGGUGCCAUCCUUGGCGCCAUCCGUCUCCCACUCCCCUGUGCUCUGCAAACAUGCCUCAUCGUGUUAAUUGUUGUCUAGACAAGCUCGAGCACAUUCCCCUCAGCUAACUGAUUGCCAUGCAUGGUCCUAGUUUGCAGACCGCUCCUGCAGAGGAUAUUGCCUAUUUUAUGAUAAAACAUACAAGUUGCGUCCCAGAUUUGAUUUACAAAUAUCAAACCUAACCACCACAAUAUUUAUGAAAAGUGAUAAUAACUGUCGUUGAAAGCUCGAAGCAAGACAGGGGGAGCAUGUCCUGGAAACCCAGGGCAAAACAUUUGUUCCCAGUCUGAUGGGUGGAAUGAUUACUGAAUGUAUACAUAGACCAAAAUAAUCAAAUUGAAACAGAUAUCCAUAAGAUAUGGAACAGGUUUCAGAUCUUACAUGAAGUUACUAAAGAUGAUUUAUCAUGGAAUUUUAAGGCCAUAUGGGACAAAUUAACUUUGUGGUUACCUAAUCUGGAAUGGUUAAAGCAUGCUUUUGUUAUAAUGCUCAUUGUAAUAGUUUUAGGUAUACCAAUAUGUGUAUUACUUCAAUGUUUUGUUUGGUGCUAUCAAAGAAUGAUCAUAGGGUACAGUGAUUUUUUUAUAGUUGUAAAAGAAUUUACAAUAGUUGUUAGAAAAGGGGGGAAUGAAUAAUGGGCCAUGUAUGAUUUAUUUAAAGAUCAGUGUGCUCAUGUUCAUCUGAGGAGACCUUUAUUGUUGACUUGAGGAUGUACUAAAUCCUUGAAUGGGUGACAUAGGGAGUGUGCUAAUUGUCCAGGCACAAGAUAUGUUAAUAUUGUUAACUUGAAGAUAUAAUAAAUCCUUGAAUAGGAAUGUGCUAAUUGUCCAGGUGUGAGAUAUGUUAAUGAGUUCACGGAAAGUUAAUGAAUAGACAUGAGUGACUUGUAUAAAGAGGGGGCUGAAAGGUUCCCUCGGUGUGCAUGACUUUGGUGGAGCGAUCCCCCAUGCACCCAGCGCUGCCGAAUAAAGAUAACCUCCGCUCACUCGAA